UACGUAGGGGGCCAGCGUUGUCCGGAUUCAUUGGGCGUAAAGCGCACGCAGGCGGCUAAGCAAGUCAUCGGUGAAAUCCCUCGGCUCAACCGGGGGGGGUCCGGUGGGACUGCUUGGCUGGAGGUCGGGAGGGGGAAGCGGAAUUCCCGGUGUAGUGGUGGAAUGCGUAGAUAUCGGGAGGAACACCAGUGGCGAAGGCGGCUUCCUGGCCCGAGCCUGACGCUGAGGUGCGAAAGCGUGGGGAGCGAUCCGG
rnacentral:rRNA from 1 species